AAAGUCGUAACAAGGUUUCCGUAGGUGAACCUGCGGAAGGAUCAUUAACACGUAUCCAUACGUAUUAUAUACCAAACCGUGAACUUGUUUGAAAAUAAACUGAAGACUGGAGAAGCAAGUAAUUGCGACUUCUUUCUUGUAUCUUAUUAUCAACUUAUAAACCACUUGUAACCAUUUGUACUAAACAAAACUAAGAAAGUGUAGUCUGUGUGUGUUCUAAACAACAUACGCUUCUUCGCUUUUUGUAUUUACGAAAUGUAAAAACAAUUCUUAGCAACGGAUAUCUUGGUUCUC
rnacentral:misc_RNA from 1 species